GAUGAAUGCUGGCGGCGUGCCUAACACAUGCAAGUCGAGCGGCAGCGCGAGUAGUUUACUACUUGGCGGCGAGCGGCGGACGGCUGAGUAACGCGUGGGAACGUGCCCCAAAGUGAGGGAUAACGCACCGAAAGGUGUGCUAAUACCGCAUAUGGUCUUUGGAUUAAAGAAUUUAUUCGCUUUGGGAGCGGCCCGCGUCGGAUUAGGUAGUUGGUAGGGUAAUGGCCUACCAAGCCGACGAGCCGUAGCUGGUCUGAGAGGAUGAUCAGCCAGACUGGAACUGAGACACGGCCCAGACUCCUACGGGAGGCAGCAGUGGGGAAUAUUGCACAAUGGGCGCAAGCCUGAUGCAGCAACGCCGCGUGAGGGGUGACGGCCUUCGGGUUGUAAACCUCUUUUAGUAGGGAAGAAGCGAAAGUGACGGUACCUGCAGAAAAAGCACCGGCUAACUACGUGCCAGCCGCCGCCGUAA
rnacentral:rRNA from 1 species